rnacentral:lncRNA from 1 species
GAUUGUGUCAGCAUCAUGGAGGACUUUUAUAAAGAUUUAGAGGAGAGAUUUCUUAAGAAAACAAAAAAAUUGGGCAAUAUUCAUGGUUGUGUAGCAUGGGACGGCUAUGUUGAUAAAUUGGGAUACGGUGUCAUGAAUGUAAACUGGCCAAGGGAGGGUGCAAAAAAGAAAGAGCACAUAGACUAGCAUAUAUGAUUAAGGAAAGAAUAAGCC